rnacentral:rRNA from 1 species
AUUGAACGCUGGCGGCAGGCCUAACACAUGCAAGUCGAACGAGUGGCGGACGGGUGAGUAAUGUAUGGGGAACUGCCUGAUAGAGGGGGAUAACUACUGGAAACGGUGGCUAAUACCGCAUACCAUCAGAUGUACCCCGAGGGGAUUAGCUAGUGGGUGGGGUAACGGCUCACCAAGGCGACGAUCCCUAGCUGGUCUGAGAGGAUGAGCAGCCACACUGGGACUGAGACACGGCCCAGACUCCUACGGGAGGCAGCAGUGGGGAAUAUUGCACAAUGGGCGCAAGCCUGAUACAGCCAUGCCGCGUGGAUGAAGAAGGCCUUCGGGUUGUAAAGUACUUUCAGCGGGGAGGCGUUACCCGCAGAAGAAGCACCGGCUAACUCCGUGCCAGCAGCCGCGGUAAUUC